rnacentral:rRNA from 1 species
UUGGAUCCAGACUUUGAUCCUGGCUCAGGAUGAACGCUAGCUACAGGCUUAACACAUGCAAGUCGAGGGGCAGCGGGAUUGAAGCUUGCUUCAAUUGCCGGCGACCGGCGCACGGGUGAGUAACGCGUAUCCAACCUUCCGUACACUCAGGGAUAGCCUUUCGAAAGAAAGAUUAAUACCUGAUAGUAUCUUAAGCACACAUGUAAUUAAGAUUAAAGAUUUAUCGGUGUACGAUGGGGAUGCGUUCCAUUAGGUAGUAGGCGGGGUAACGGCCCACCUAGCCAACGAUGGAUAGGGGUUCUGAGAGGAAGGUCCCCCACAUUGGAACUGAGACACGGUCCAAACUCCUACGGGAGGCAGCAGUGAGGAAUAUUGGUCAAUGGACGAGAGUCUGAACCAGCCAAGUAGCGUGAAGGAUGAAGGUCCUACGGAUUGUAAACUUCUUUUAUAAGGGAAUAAACCCUCCCACGUGUGGGAGCUUGUAUGUACCUUAUGAAUAAGCAUCGGCUAACUCCGUGCCAGCAGCCGCGGUAAUACGGAGGAUGCGAGCGUUAUCCGGAUUUAUUGGGUUUAAAGGGAGCGCAGACGGGUCGUUAAGUCAGCUGUGAAAGUUUGGGGCUCAACCUUAAAAUUGCAGUUGAUACCGGCGUCCUUGAGUGCGGUUGAGGUGUGCGGAAUUCGUGGUGUAGCGGUGAAAUGCUUAGAUACCACGAAGAACUCCGAUUGCGAAGGCAGCACACUAAUCCGUAACUGACGUUCAUGCUCGAAAGUGUGGGUAUCAAACAGGAUUAGAUACCCUGGUAGUCCACACGGUAAACGAUGGAUACUCGCUGUUGGCGAUAUACUGUCAGCGGCUUAGCGAAAGCGUUAAGUAUCCCACCUGGGGAGUACGCCGGCAACGGUGCAACUCAAAUGAAUUGACGGA